UUAGCUCAGCUGGGAGAGCAUCUGCCUUACAAGCAGGGGGUCACAGGUUCGAGCCCUGUA
rnacentral:tRNA from 1 species